rnacentral:lncRNA from 1 species
UCAGACUUGAACAAGGAUUUCAGAAAUGGAAUGCUAAUAGUUUCUGGAUUAAAGGAGAGAGUACUAAAUUAAAAGCAGUUGCUCAACUGGCAAAGAUCCUACCUUUGCGUUCUUGGGGUUGCUGGUUCGAGUCCCCUCAGGAGGGUCACUGGAGGUUCUCCCAGUCGUUAACUUCAGGCCACCAAAUUAGCCUCUCGUGGACUCAACUGGGUUGGGCAAAGAUACUGGGAUAUGUAUAUACAUAUAUACAUAGGAUAUACAUAUAUAUAUAUAUAUAUAUAUAUAUAGAAGAGGGUUGACAUUAAAUUGAAAAGAAGCAACAAUAGUUCCUAUUUUCACUACAUUUAUUUGCUAAGUGAGAAUUUUAUUAGCAAAACAGAAGAUAUAUAACAUGCUCAAAAACAGUCCGGGCAGGGCGAAAACGCUAAAAAACAAAAGCCUAAAAAUC